rnacentral:rRNA from 1 species
UUUAAGGUCUAAUCUGCCCUAUGAGGAUUUAAAUGGCCGCGGUAUUUUGACCGUGCAAAGGUAGCAUAAUAAUUAGUUUUUUAAUUGAAAGCUGGAAUGAAUGAUUGGACGAGAAAAUUACUGUCUCAAAUUAAUUUAAUUAGAAUUUUAUUUUUAAGUAAAAAAGCUUAAAUUUUUUUAAAAGACGAGAAGACCCUAUAGAGUUUUAUAUAUGUAUUUAUAUUUGAAUCUUUAGUAUUAUAUUUUUGUUAUAUUUAUAUAUAUUUUAUUGGGGUGAUAGAAAAAUUAAAUUAACUUUUUUUAUAUUUAAACAUUAAUUUAUGAUUAAAUGAUCCAUUAUUUAUGAUUAUAAGAUUAAAUUACCUUAGGGAUAACAGCGUAAUUAUUUUUUAGAGUUCUUAUCGAAAAAAUAGAUUGCGACCUCGAUGUUGGAUUAAAAUAAACUUUUGGUGUAGGGGCUAAAAAGUUAGGUCUGUUCGACCUUUAAAAUUUUACA